UGGGGAAUUUUGCACAAUGGGGGAAACCCUGAUGCAGCGACGCCGCGUGAUUUAGAAGGCCUUCGGGUUGUAAAAAUCUUUUUUACGGGAUGAAAAUGACAGUACCGUAAGAAUAAGGUCCGGCUAAAUACGUGUCAGCAGCCGCGGUAAUACGUAUGGACCGAGCGUUGUCCGGAAUCAUUGGGCGUAAAGGGUACGUAGGCGGCCUAGUAAGUUAGAAGUUAAAGAAUAUAGCUCAACUAUAUAAAGCUUUUAAAACUGCUAGGCUUGAGAGAUGGAAGGGAAAGUGGAAUUCCUAGUGUAGCGGUGAAAUGCGCAGAUAUUAGGAAGAAUACCGGUGGCGAAGGCGACUUUCUGGUCAUCAUCUGACGCUGAGGUACGAAAGCGUGGGUAGCAAACAGG
rnacentral:rRNA from 1 species